UCGGAUGGAUUUUCGGCGUGUGCUUCUUUUUAUUCUCGAUUGCGUGAAGGAUGAGUUGUUACAAGAAACAACUUUUCACCUACCAGGAAUUUCGAGUUGGAGGCCAUUAUGCAUGUGAUACCACUGUGGCUCCUAUUGGUUCAUCAGUGGCUUACGUCGCCAAGUUCUUUGGCAACACAUUUUUGUCAUUUGAACACUCUUCUAUCACUGGAUUUACAACUGAUGAGAAGCCAGAUAAGCUUAUGGCACAUACAAGACUGAAACUACUAUUUAAAGCAGGAUUGUUCAACCCUGGCAACUUUAAAUUGCUUUAAACUUUACAAUUGCUACCAACCUGCCUUCCAUUGAGGACCUGUAUACUGCACGAGUCAAAAAGAGGGCUGUGAAAAUAUUUACAGACCCCUCACAUCCUGGACAUAAACUGUUUCAACUCCUACCCUCAAAAUGACGCUAUAGAGCACUGCAUACCAGAACAGCUAGACACAAGAACAGUUUUUUCCCAGACGCCAUCACUCUGCUAAACAAAUAAUUCCUUCAACACUGUCAAACUAGUUACUAAGUCUGCACUACUAUUAAUCUUCUCAUCGUUCCCAUCACCCAUCUCCUUCCACUUAUGAUUGUAUGACUUAACUUUGUUGCUUGUUUCCUUACGAUUUAUAUUGAUAUUGUUUCCUGAUUACUUAUUUGUACCCUAUAACUAUCAUUAAGUGUUGUAGUUUAUGAUUCUUUAUGAAUGUAUCUUUUCUUUUAUGUACACUGAGAGCGUAUGCACCAAGACAAAUUCCUUGGCCAAUAAAAAAAUAAAUUCUA